GCGGAUGUGGUGGAAUGGCAGACACGCCAUCUUGAGGGGGUGGUGAGCGUAUGCUCGUAUGGGUUCAAGUCCCAUCAUCCGCA
rnacentral:tRNA from 1 species